CAAUUCUCAUUAUCUUUAUGAUGUUCAAUUUCUUUCUUCUUCUUUUUUUUUUUCCUUGAUAUGUCACCCAGACUGUCCUCACACUGUCACCCAGGCUGGAGUGCACUGGCGCGAUCUCGGCUCACUGCAACCUCUGCCUCCUGGGUUCAAGCGAUUCUCCUGCCUUAGCCGUGAUGUUCAGUUUCUAAUACUCCAAAAGCCACUGGGGAACUGAUUCCUGCCAACAACCACUGAACUUCGAAGUAGAUCCAUCAGCAACUGGACCCUCAGAUGCGACCCAUGUAUGACACCUUGAUUGGGAUCCUGUGAGAGACCCUCAGGCAGAGCACCUAGUUAAGUCAAACUCAGAUCGCUGACUCCCAGAAACUGUAAGCACUCUCCUGCAUACCUGUCACCAAACCUCCAGGUCAAUCUCACAUUUACUCUUGAAGAAAUGGAGUCGAAGAUGAAAUAGAAAAUAAUUAGAUAAUGAAAUGCUAAUAUAGGAAUUGAAUGUCAGCUGCAGUGCUCAGAAGCAUAAGAUUGUGAUAAAUGUUUUGGAGGAAAAUAGAAAGAAGGCUGUGGUUUGAAACGUCUCAACAAACUUCCAAUCAUGCAAAACUUGAGGGAACGAGGAACAGCAAAGCUUGGCACUUUGGAAGCUUGAUAACAUCACAGCAUGGAAGAAAAGUGGAAGGAAGUUAUCACAAAGGAAUAACAAACAACGUGCUCUCCUUAAGCCAUCCUGACUACUCUAACAUCCUGCUUCCACUAAAAAUACUGACGGCCAAAUUCACAAAUAAGAGACAAGAUGGAAACUGAUUGAUUUCACACCG
rnacentral:lncRNA from 1 species